GGCAAAUAAGGAGGGGGAGGAGAAGAAGAAGAAGAAAGAUGAAGAAGAAGAAGAAGAAGAAGCAGAAAAAAAAAGAGGCGAAGUUGGAGGUUAGCGCUGAUGUUACACGGUUCGGCUGCAAGUGAAGGCUCACCGUGUACUCGGAAUAAAUGACAAAUAACUGACUUUCGUCUGCUGACUGCCACAAACCACAGACAUUCAGUCCAGACUUCGGCCACGCUGCACAUUCUCCCAGAUGACCUGCAUUUGGAAAUGUCUGGAUCGCUAGGUGAACAAAGAAGCAUCAGUGAAAAGAUCUGAAGGGAGCCAGAAGCACAACAGCACUGCUGGAGUGCUGAUGAAUUCACAGAAGAGCACGACUCACGUCAGAACUGAACAUUUGCAAAAGCCCUUCGACUCACUGCAGAGAGGCUCUGGACGUAGCGGACGGCGUCUCCGAUGGUGAAGAAUAUUACGCUGUUUUCGCCGGUCUCGCCUUCUUUGUUGGGUUCAUAGCCGCCUUUUUCCAGAGUGUCCAGCACCGUGGUAUUACAAUGAGCCAGAACAACCCUGACCCCAAGUUCUCCGUAAUCUUUUCUGACCUCUUUGAGAGCAUUUAACCCAGCGGUAUCUAGGAACAGGACAGCGCUGCAGUCCAUGACGAUGCUGCGUACGCUACGAGGAGCUUCGUUGAGCAUCAAGGGUCGAGCCCCACACACUUGUAGAGAGACUUUUUGAACAAGCUCUGAUUGGCGUAGUAAAUUGGAGCCUCGUACCUGAAGACGGCCACUUCAGGAAGCGUCUCAAGGCCUCGGA